GUGUUCCCGACGCGCACCUGUUUGCCAUGACGGACACUAUUUAAGCCUGUCUUUCUGUUCAUUCGUCCUGGCUUCCUUGUUUGCGGGACAAACGACGGCAGCAGUCCAAACUCCUAAAGCAGGACUUCAUCCACCUCCUCAACACCGUCGCACAGUUCCAGAUCCCCUCUGGACUCCCUGCUGCCUUCCUGGAUCUCGACCUCACGCCUGCCCACGGACAACGACGCCUCGCUCCAGCCCCUGACCUCCUGCCUGUCCCUGGACCUCCGAGCCUGCCUUGCCCUUUCUGGACUUCUGCACCGAUCUCAACACCACCCGGCCUAACUCGGUGCCAGGCACUUCCUGCAGCUGAACUCAGCAUUGAUAGCAGCUUUGUGUGUCCCACUGGCCCGACCUUUGCCCUCAUGUAGCGGAUGAGGAAGUGUCAGUGGAACAGUCCAUGUGAGUAUGGGUCUCAGUCUGGUUCCUGGCUGCUCCGUUGCCCUUCUAUUCCUCCCUCUAUGGAGCCCUCCACAUGUGUUUCCUGUUGUUUUUCCACUCUUAACAGCACUGUGCUGGGACUCGACACCAAGGCAGGGGCCUUUUUCCUGAUGCUUUGUUUGGCAUGGCCUCUGGGAAAGAUUUAAAUUUAGGUGUGCAUGAUAAGGGGUUACCCUUUGUAUAUAUUCAUGACACCGCCAGUGCAACCGAGACUCAUUAUGAUCAUCCUAUCUUUUUACUGUCCACAUUUUAUGUGAGA